GACGAACGCUGGCGGCGUGCUUAACACAUGCAAGUCGAACGGAAAGGCCCAGCUUGCUGGGUACUCGAGUGGCGAACGGGUGAGUAACACGUGGGUGAUCUGCCCUGCACUCUGGGAUAAGCCUGGGAAACUGGGUCUAAUACCGGAUAUGACCAACUGUCGCAUGGUGGUUGGUGGAAAGCUUUUGCGGUGUGGGAUGGGCCCGCGGCCUAUCAGCUUGUUGGUGGGGUAAUGGCCUACCAAGGCGACGACGGGUAGCCGACCUGAGAGGGUGAUCGGCCACACUGGGACUGAGACACGGCCCAGACUCCUACGGGAGGCAGCAGUGGGGAAUAUUGCACAAUGGGCGCAAGCCUGAUGCAGCGACGCCGCGUGAGGGAUGACGGCCUCGGUUGUAAACCGUACUUUCUACCAGGACGAAGACGUGAGUGACGGUACCUGGAGAAGAAGCACGGCCAACUACGUAGCCAGCAGCCGCGGUAA
rnacentral:rRNA from 1 species